CCCUUUGACAAUCACAGCAUCAGCCGGCGUGCGGGUCGUGCAGACGCUCCGCGAGUUUUAUUGAAAAAAAACCAGUGUGAAAUCACCGUGCGACAGUCCCAAACGCUGCGAAUCGAUUUAUCCAGACUAGCUUUAACCCGCGGCUUCGCUCGCGAAUAUUUAAAAUAAUGAAAUUGCUUCCGUACGCGUCUGUAGUCACAGAAGAAGUAACAAUGAAGUAGAAUGGCGGGAAGUUUAAAAUGGCUGAAAGUAUAGUCUAUGGAAGUAUAGUGUACAGUCUCCAUAGUGUAGUCAAUUGGAUUUGAUGUUGACGUAGCUGUCGGUAAUACAGUGUGAUAAUACAGUGUGAUGGUACUAUAAUACUUAGGUUUGAGCUUCAUUGCUGGAAUGCUAGAUGGCGUUAAAGUUGUCAAAUAGCCAGAUGCAGAGGAAUUAUUGGCUAAACAAUUUCUUUAUUUUAUUUAAAAUAUAUAUUUUUUUAUUAAAUAAAAAGUAGCCUAUAACCAUUCGGGGACCACUAAGAAUAUGUGUACAAAUUUUCAUGAUGAUCGGUUAAGUAGUUUUUGCGUGAAAGUGUAACAAACAUCAGGACUUUCGCAUUUAUAAUAUUAGUAGGGAUACUUGAGACGAGAAAAUUCACAUUUUAAGAUGCGAAGACAUGGUACAUAAAAAUUGGCGGGGAAAAACAGUUACAGCACUCGUUGUGCCUGGCAGUCCGAUAAGCUGUACAUUGUUAUGGUUUGGCAUUCAAUCGACGCACUUCUGUGAUGGAUCCACUCUCGAUGUAUGUGAAUAAUCCUUUAUGAUUUGAGACAGCUUCCUGAAUUCUGAAAUAAUGACCUGGAUGGCGGAGGGUGCUUUCAAACCUGUCUACGAAGAUGUCCAGUUGAACAUGAAAUGGAUGAAGACGAACCACAUCUCUGUGAAAAAAUGGCUAAUGGUCCACUCCAGAGUGGAAAACAAAUUUUCAUUAGUUGUUGCUUAUUUAGAUUUGUAAAAUGUAGGCAUUGUUUCUUACGUAUAAGGAUAAUUAAUUGUUAUUACUUGAAAUGAUGAUUUAUUUGUUCGGGUGUUAAUAUAUUUUAUAUUAUGAAUGAGAA